UACGAACGAACAUCUAAGGGUAUCCUCAACGCUUCUAUACCCAAUUUGGCACACUCUAUCGUCACUUCGUAUACCGCUGCUAAACGCGCUAGAGAAAUAGUAGCCGCGCCGUGCGCAGUCAUCAUAACAACUUAUGUAGUAGCGCAUCGUUGAGGAUGCCCUAAGUGAAAACAUUGAUAUUUGCCCAAUGAUCACAUGCAUUAACGGAGUAAUCUGCACAGCUAAGAUCUUUGCUCAAAAAUCUGCCAGUCUUCAUUAUCUUACCUGUUCAAAAUUGAGUUCACCAUGGUGAUUCCAACAAAUUUUCAUCGAUCGAUUCUUCUGUGCAGCGAUAUUCAACUUGGAGUUUUUCAAUCAAUUUAAUCAUCUUGGUAGUUAAAUUCAAGCGUAUAUAAUCAGACUGCCGGAGUGACAGAAAUGUGUCAAGGUCGUCAAUCUCCUCCUUUCCUGAAAAAUGUUUUUUAUUUAUCCUACAUUUGUAUUAAGGUAUUUUGAAGUUACAUUAUGAUUUAGUAAUCUCUAUUAUAAAAUCGCCGUGAAAUAUAUUUCUUUGUGCUACCGUAAGGUGUCCAGAAAGAGAACGUGGCAUGUGUGAAACAGUCAUCAAUCGGUAUUAAUUUAUCUGUUUUUAAUGCUACUACUUCGUACGAUUCCUAAAAGUGGUCUUUGUCAAGUGUGCUACAGAUUCUAAGUAAUAGAAAAUUACAAGAACUAACUGUCACAAUCUCACGGAUCAUACCGUAAGUAGGAAACAGGGCAUCGUUCUCAUCAAACUUGUCAUUUUUUGAACAGACAACGUUGUUGCAGCGGAACUCAAUACUGUUAAUAGUGAGGGUUUUUGGUAAGAACACGUAUUCAAUGCUAUCGUCCAAGUAUGGCUGGCUAAGACAGUUUGCUGUUGUUACUAUUUUACCGGAACCAAAAACUGUUUUAUCGGAGAGAGGGUUGUCGAUCAUGUCUACAACCAUUUUCAGGCACUGCCGCUUCGCUAAACUUAGACAUAUGUUUUUAAAGUUUCUGCAAGUGGCCGAUUGUUUUUUUCCAACCUUAUUUGCUUGUUCAAACUGAAAGCAGUUGAACUGUUUCAUAGAGCCGCUUUUCCUAAUGCACAUUACGUAGUGCCGUAAAUGGUGAAGUUUAUUCAAACGACGAUCGAAUUUCUUAAUGAAAGCUGUUUCAAAGAAAUUUAUGUGUUCAUCUAAUUGACAAAGUAAAUUUUCCGAUACUACUGGAGACAUUAUAAUCCUCACAAUAUUAAUCAGGUGUCCUAUCAUAUCCAUGUACUCGCAAUUAUCUGGAACUAAGUGACCAAACAAGAACGGAAAAGCUCGAAGAAAUAAAAUAGACUGGGCCGCAGUUUGUCGCAGCUUAUGUUUCGUUGGAUGUUGCAUCAUUUCUUCCGUGAUAUUCGGUGACGGUUUAUUACACCGAUCAGUGUAGCCAUACUAAUGCGCCAGCACCAACUGGAUGGUAACUGGAACAUCACCUUCUGCUAAAUCAUGCAUGCUGUCUAGCGCAUUAUUUUCGGUUAUAUGGUAAUGUUGCAACUCGUUUAAAAUACAUCCAGAUUUCUUUAGACCACAGUCCUUUGGUAUCACAGAACCAUGCUGUACAGCAAGCAGAUGUUCCUCAUACCAGGCUUUAGUUCGCAACGGAUAGUCUAUAGAAGGAUUAGCAUGGAAUUGCUUUCUAGAUAUUUGACAAACACGACAGAAAAAUUUGAUCCAGGGCCGAUCAAAUCAAAAACGUCAUGAGUCGCUAGUGUAUCUGCACAGAACAUUGUAACAACGGCUCUCAAUACAAAUUCUUCUAAGCUAAAAUAUAUAGUGACCCCAUUUUCUAACAACUUCAGAUCGUUUAUAAGCGGUGUAAGGAUUUUACGAUAGCCAUUCUUUUUUACGUCGAUAGAAGUGCAAAAUAUCAAUGGAAAUACUCUCUUUGGUGACGAAUUCCACUUUUCAGGAAAAUUUUGUAUUUUGAAACAAAAAUUCGAUAUUUUAUUAAUACCAGCACGAGAACUCAAUGCAUUUCCCAAUUCCACGUCGUCCUGGUAGAGACUAAUUCUUAUGCAGUUCGGGUGUAGUUUGAAGUAGUGUUUUUGGUUAUAGGUUUCACCAGUUCUGAAACAACUAUAUUCCUUGACACACGGGGUGUGUGAUGCUAGUUUUUCAGUUUCGCUUAAUAAUGCACGGGCAUGUGGGUCUUUAAAGAUAAACUUUAAUGUGUCCACUAUACUGAUGUAGGAAGCGGUUUCAUUAACCAUAACUUUUCUCGGUACGGAGUUAACGUGUCGAAUGUCUUCACGACGACUCAGCAACAAUUCUUUCGGUGCUGGUAUUGGCCCUGCAAUUUUGUUGAGAUACUUUGAUUGUUUCGCAAGAGUGCUUACAUCGUCGAAAAGACCAGAAAUUUUAAAGCAGUUUCUAAAUUCAACAAUAUGUUCUAAAGUAAUCGAAUGAUUUCUGGACUGCAAAAAGCGUACUGUUUGUUCUUCGUGAUAUCCAGCAACUUGUGUGACAAUAGACUCACUUAUUUGAAUUAUUUCGGAGACUUUCGUUUGAGGUAAUCCAACAUCGGAUGCAAGUCGACAAACACUUAUGUUAAUAAACUUUCGAAGUCCAUCUACAGUAUUUUUUUGAUAAUCUGUUUCUUUAAAUUCUGCC